rnacentral:tRNA from 1 species
GCUUUUGGUUGAGUGGUAGAAUGCUCGCCGGCAGGCGAGGCGCCCCGGGUUCGAUUCCCGGCCGAUGCA